AUCAGAAAGAGACUCUAAAAGGAGAAGGUGCUAGAGAAGAGCCUUUAUAGGAGUUCACGGUACCAAGAAUCAGAAGAGAUGAGGAAGAUCACUGCUGCCUCUGGACUCUAAGCCAAGAGAGAUAUGACAGAUCCCAUUCCUCCCUUUAUGAGGAGGAGACACUAACUCAGCUGAGGAGGACUCAUGCUGAAGCAAGAAGCUGGAAAGAGAGUGAAACCUUCCAAUCGAUGCCUAGAAGAGACUAUACUCUUAACACCAAUGACAAGACCAGCAGAAGUCCAAUAAUAUCACCUUGUGUCAUCAGAAGCAUGAGUUGCUCCUCCACAUUGGCGCCCCUGUCCUCUGUACUUCCUAUGUAUGUGCCCUUAAUAUAGAUGAUCUGGUACCGUCUUGGGUACUAGUCCCUACUUGUAUCUACUCUUCUCUAAAAUGUUUUCUUUUCGUUUUAAACUUAUCAUGAGCAAACCAAGUAUCUCAGUAUACAUCAAAUAAAAUUUUUUCUUUUAA